GGCGCGGUGGCUUAGUGGUUCGCAUGUUUGCAUCGCACCUCUGGGGUUGCGUGUUCGAAUCCCGCCUCCGCCC